GGCGUUGCCAUGUGAACUUUGCUUCACUCUACAAGGAGUACUUUAGAAACCAAAAAGAGGAGUUCAAGACGAGGUGUGGCUUAACGGGGCACAAAGGUCUUACUGCAUUCGAUCGUGCUUUUGAGCAUCGUUCGGAGAUCAUGCGAUCUACUGAGAGAUUUAGGAUGAAACUGGAAAGCUUCAAGCUUCGCGACAGAUUUAACAAAUAUGCUGACAGAUACGUAAGCUGGAGAGUCCAGUCCUUAUUGAUGUAGAGGAGCAAGGACUAGAGGCGACAUGCAAGAGCUUGUAUGAAGCAGAAAUGGCGGUUAACUGCCUGCGUCUGCAGCAGGGCAUUUCAGACCCCAGUCAGGUCCAGCGACGUUGUAUGAGUAAGGAAUUGAAAGAUGCGAUUGGUUCAGUGUCGGAUUGGCUGAAGGAGGUGUAUUGGUUGUGGUCAGAUUUGUGUAAAGAAGAAUCGAAGAUCAUGAGAGAGGUGGAAGCUGCUGAGGAAGAGCAAUAGAAGAAGGAACAGGAUAGUUAGAGCGAGCAACAACCUCAUCAUGAUUUUACAUGCUUUUUUUCGUAUAGAUAUGUUUUUGUUGAAGAGGCCCUUAUAUGCCUAAACAUGAAUGACAACUUGACUUGACCCU